GAUGAACGCUGGCGGCGUGCCUAAUACAUGCAAGUCGAGCGAACGGACGAGAAGCUUGCUUCUCUGAUGUUAGCGGCGGACGGGUGAGUAACACGUGGAUAACCUACCUAUAAGACUGGGAUAACUUCGGGAAACCGGAGCUAAUACCGGAUAAUAUUUUGAACCGCAUGGUUCAAAAGUAAAAGACGGUCUUGCUGUCACUUAUAGAUGGAUCCGCGCUGCAUUAGCUAGUUGGUAAGGUAACGGCUUACCAAGGCAACGAUGCAUAGCCGACCUGAGAGGGUGAUCGGCCACACUGGAACUGAGACACGGUCCAGACUACUACGGGAGGCAGCAGUAGGGAAUCUUCCGCAAUGGGCGAAAGCCUGACGGAGCAACGCCGCGUGAGUGACGAAGGUCUUCGGAUCGUAAAACUCUGUUAUUAGGGAAGAACAUAUGUGUAAGUAACUGUGCACAUCUUGACGGUACCUAAUCAGAAAGCCACGGCUAACUACGUG
rnacentral:rRNA from 1 species